rnacentral:rRNA from 1 species
UUCAGAGGAACCUGUCCUAUAAUUGAUGGUCCACGAUUUUUAAAACUUAUUUUAUUAGUUUGCAUAUCGCCGUAGGUUGAAUAUUUUAAUAGAAUAAUCAUGUUCAAGAUUUUUUAAGAGAAAGUAAAUCAGGUCAAGGUGUAGCUUAUAAAUAAGAAGAGAUGGGUUACAAUAAAUAAAUUUAAACAGAUAAUUAGUUGAAAUAUUAAUUUGAAGGUGGAUUUGAAAGUAAUUUUAAUUAAAUUAUUAAAAUGAUUUUAGCUCUAAAAUAUGUACAUAUCGCCCGUCAUUUUCAUUAUAAAAUGGAACAAGUCGUAACAUAGUAGGUGUACUGGAAAGUGUACCUAGAACGGCAAAUUAGAGCUUGAUAUAAAGCAUUUUAGUUACAUUAAAAAGUUUGUUGUGAAAAUCAAUAUAGUUUGAAUUUUUUAAAUUAUUAAAAUUUAUACUUUAAAUUUAUUUAAAUAAAAUAAUUUAAAUUUUUAUUAAAAAAUAGAAAAAAUUUUCUUAAUUAUAGUAAACUAGUAUUGUGAAAGAAAUUUCUUAAAUAUUUUAAAGAAUAAUUUAAAGUUAGUACCUUGUGCAUCAGGGUUUAUUAAAUAAUAGUUAAAUAUUUAAUUUUCUCGAAUUUAAAAGAGCUAUGAAAAUAUACCUUUUAUUGUAUAAUAAAUAUUGUGAAUAUUUUCAUAGAAAUGAAACGUUAUUCGUUUUUAAAUAUAUCUAGUUUUUUAAGAAAUAAAUUUAAUUUAUUUAAUAUAAAUAUUAUUUUACAUAUUUUAAAAAAGUAUUAGUAUUAAAAAAUAUCUUGAGGGAUGAGCUUUGAGAUAGAUUUUUAUAAAUAUCAAAAUUUAUUGAAUAAAUAGGAUUAUAAGCGUUCAAUUUUAUUAGUGUGUUAUAAUUAUUUCAAGGUAAAAUAUAAUUUGUUUUUAUUUUAAAUUUUUUAUUAAAAUAUUAACCAAAAUUUUUUUAGUUAAGGAAUAAUGAUAAAAUUAGUAUAAUAUUUUGUACAAUAAUUAAUUCACAAGGUUAAAUAAAGGAACUCGGCAAAUAAUUUUUCACCUGUUUAAUAAAAACAUGGCCUUUUGACAAUAAUUUAAGGUCUAACCUGCCCAAUGAAAUUUUUAAUGGCCGCGGUAUUUUGACCGUGCAAAGGUAGCAUAAUCAUUUGUUUUUUAAUUGAAAGCUGGAAUGAAGGGUUGAAUGAAAAAAUAACUGUCUCUAUUUAAUUUAAUUAGAAUUUUAUCUUUAAGUUAAAAAGCUUAAAUAUCUUUUGAAGACGAGAAGACCCUAUAGAGUUUAAUACUUAUAAUAUUUGAAUAGUUUGGUAAUAAUUUUCUUAGAUUGAUUAAGUAUUUAAUUGGGGUGAUUAAAAAAUUUAAUAAACUUUUUUUGUAUAAAAUCAUUGAUUAAUGAAUAAUUGAUCCUUUAAAAGAUUAAAAGAUUAAAUUACCUUAGGGAUAACAGCGUAAUUUUUUUUUAGAGUCCUAAUCGAAAAAAAAGAUUGCGACCUCGAUGUUGGAUUAAAGUUUAUUUUUGGUGUAGAAGCUAUAUAUAUUAGGCCUGUUCGGCCUUUAAAACUUUACUUGAUCUGAGUUCAAACCGGUGUGAGCCAGGUUGGUUUCUAUCUCGAAAUAGUUAAAAUAUUUUAGUACGAAAGGAUCAAAUAUUUAAUUAAAAAUUUUUAUAAUAGAAUAAUAAUAAUUUAAAUAGUUAUUUUGGCAGAAUAGUGCAAUAGAUUUAGAAUCUAUAUAUGUAAUUUUACAAAUAAUACUUGAAAUUAUGUGAUUUAUUUUUGAUAUUAAUUUCUAGACUAAUUUUAUUUCUUUGUGUAAUAAUUGGGGUGGCUUUUUUAACUUUAUUAGAGCGGAAAGUUCUAGGAUAUAUUCAAAUUC